GUUGGGAUCUCCACAAUCUGGGGAGUCCCUUACAUAAUUAAGCAUUCUGUAAGUGAAAGAAACUCAAAUUAAUCAGUAAACACUAAUUUUCUAUGAACUUUUUAACAUUUUUUAUCAUUAUUAAUACAGCUGCUUUUGUUUCAUUUACACUAAAUAAAUAUGCUUUUCUCUAGAUUAUAUUAUAUAUAUUAAAAAAUUGAAUGGAAUAUAGAUACAUAAAAACAUUAAUAUAAAUAUCUCAGGCUGGCCAUGGGCCUCCACUGACCUCAAGGUGGUGUGUCACACCAACACUUUUUCCGUCAACUUUUUCCAUCGUUUUUCUGAAAAUCGUGGAUAUCUUGGCUGCGGCCUGUUGCACACAAAUGGUGUUUCAUCUGAAACUUUCCGUUGGCACAGCCCAAGGAGUGCAAACAAACAUGGAGUCCACACUGCAGCAAAGAUACGCUACUCUGAAACUAAUACUGUGUACUGUGAGACACAGUAUUGGAGGGCACAGGUGACUGUGUUGUGAGCCGCUCUUUUCUGGCCUUUCUUCAUACAAGAUUCAUCCUUGUGGUCCCAGAGGCACUUAUGGCUCCUUAUGCUUUCCACAAGGAUCUCCUCUGAAUGGCGUGUCCAACUUGGAUGUGGUUUUCCUUCCAUGACGAAGCGUAGAGGUGGUAAUAACGCUCUGUGAGACAGGUUGAAGCCACGCGGAAAGUCUUGGUCUUGGUCUUGGAAAUAUAAACAAAGGCGGAAAUUUGCAGGAGGAAACAAUCCUAAUCGUCUGACAAAUUCAUGCGAUAAGUUCAUGUGGAACGAUGAAAAAUCGACGGAAAAAGUGCUAGUAUGACACCACCUUAAAUCCACCCUUGGAUUUGUGAGUUAAUUUUUUUUUCUUUUUUUUUCUUACUUGAGGGGCAUUGGCUUUGGGAGGGGGAAAAAAAAAAAAAGACCCACUUAGGUGCCAUUCCCUUAAGACCAAAAGGAUCAUCCAAAAUUGGAGGGUAAGUGCCUUGAAACUUUCCUCUUGAAAGAGUUCUAGUCAUAAGAAGGAGGAAAUAUAGAAGUAGGCAGAGUGUUCCAGAGUCUACCAAAAACUAACUGACUGUUAGGCUAGACUGUGUAAAAUACUGAUGUGACUACCUUCCUCUUUUUCUGUUUUUGCUGCUUCUCUGGAGUGAGGGGCUGGCACCAUGCACAAGUCUUCUUUGGUUGUGUCUGUCCCUUGCAUCUUCUUCUGUGACUCCCAUCCUUAGCAGCUCUAGCAUAAUUCCAUCCUUCCAUCUCACUCACUCUUUACCUUGAUCUUCCUUCAACUGGCUUUCUCCAGGCCCUUUUAAUUAGUCCUUUAUCAAGAUUGCCUCCAAUAACCACCUAGGAUGUGAACAAUCUCAUAUCACCACAUCAGUCUGGCUAGAUUACAACGUGCCUUCUCUUCUUCCCUGGGAGCAGCAAACCUGUGUGGGCUCCCAGACAGGUGAGUGCCGUGUGCUGAGAAAGGCAUGGCAGAAAGUGGAAAGUGGUGCUGAGGUCCCCAGAUAACUUAGUGAACUCCUACACUGAGGGACUGGAGAAGGUCUUGAAUGACUCCUCCAGAAUCAAGGAACUGCCAGUCCAGUACAUCACAGGAGGCAUUGCUAUUGGGCUGCAAAAAAAAAUUCACCUUUAGGAAGUUAUUUGACCGCAGCCUUCAGAAGAUGCAGGAGUCAAGCCUGAUGAACAAGCUGAGGUCCAAUUGGCUAUCAGCAGGAACUUCAAUGUGUGGCAGGAAGACUAAAUUCACAGCCAGCCUCUCUGAUGUGGCUGCAAUCUUCAUCCUCUUGAUGGGUGGUGCAGCAUUUAGCUGUCUGCUGCUGCUGCUGCUGCUGCUGCUGCUGCUGGAGUAUGCAGUGGAUAAUGAUGCAUGUGUAAAACCAUGGCCCAUAUUCUGAAGCACUCUGCUCUCUCACUAUGACCAUUUUCAGAGUCCACAUAGAUGAUUAGCUGGGUUCUCAAGAAAGAUUUCUCCUGUUGAUAAAUUUGAAAUCUUGUUAAUUUGGCAUUAGACCUGCAUAAGUACCUCAACACACAUGUAACUUCAUCCAGAGCCUUUUAAAAGCAGUGGAAGUGAGGUUUAGUAGUGUUUCAGAACAUUACCCAACAUACCUAAAACUCAAAAGCAUAUGAACCGAGUGACAAUCUCACACAAGGAGGCCAAGGCAAAGUGCAUAACAUAACUUAAGAAUUGAAAGUCUCAUAUAUCCUGCCAUGUACAUAAGAGUAUAAUGGAAGCUGCAAGACUACACAAGGCAGGCAGUCCCUCUAUAAAGCAUAUUAACCACACUUACAGAUACAUGCAAGACAAAAGGUGGCAGACAAUAAGUUCUUGGGGUUUGCUGACCUGAAGGAACUGCAGAAAAUAACAAGAAACAAGACACCUACACUUUUUUUUUUCUGUACGAGGGACACUGGCCAGGGGCAAAAAAAAAAAAAAAAAAAAGUGUCCGAAGCAGUAGUCAAAAAUUGAAGGAUAAGUGUCUUGAAACCCCUCUAUUGAAGGAGUUCAAGUCAUAGGAAAAUGGAAAUACAGAAGCAGGCAGGGAGUUCCAGUUUACCAGAGAAAGGGAUGAAUGAUUGAGAAUACUGGUUAACAUUUGCAUUAGAAAGGUGGACAGAACAGGAUUGAGAGAAAGAAGAAAGUCUUGUGCAGCGAGGCCACAGGAGGAGGGAAGGCAUGCAGUUAGCAAGAUCAGAAGAGCAGUUAGUAUGAAAAUAGUGGUAGAAGACAGCUAGAGAUGCAACAUUGCACUGAUGAGAGAGAGGCUGAAGACAGUCAGUUAGAGGAGAGAAGUUGAUGAGACAAAAAGCUUUUGAUUCCACCCUGUCUAAAAGAGCAGUAUGAGUGGGACCCCCCCCCCCAGACAUGUGAAGUAUACUCCAUACAUGGACGGAUAAGGCCCUUGUACAGAGGUAGCAGCUGGGGGGGUGAGAAAAACUGGCGGAGACAUUUCAGAACACGUAACUUCAUAGAAGCUGUUUUAGCUAGAGAUGAGAUGUGAAGUUUCCAGUUCAGAUUAUACGUAAAGGACAGACUGAGGAUGUUCAGUGUAAAAGAGGGGGACAGUUGAGUGUCACUGAAGAAGGGAUAGUUGUCUGGAAGGUUGUGUUGAGUUGAUAGAUAGAGGAAUUGAGUUUUUGAGGCAUUGAAUAAUAUCAAAUUUGCUCUGCCCCAAUCAGAAAUUUUAGAAAGCUCAGAAGUCAGGCAUUCUGUGGCUUCCCUGAAUGAAAUGUUUACUUCCUGAAGUGUUGGACGUCUAUGAAAAGAUGUGGAAAAGUGCAGGGUGGUAUCAUCAGCAUAGGAGUGGACAGGACAAGAAGCCUGGUUUAGAAAGUCAUUGAUGGAUAAUAAAAAGAGAGUGGGUGACAGGACAGAACCCUGUUAAUAGAUUUAGGAGAAGGAAUGGCCUAAGUUAAUGCUUAAGAAGUUUUGAAAAAGGAAAAAAGGUGACUGGGACGUGAGAUGUGAAUGCAAGUGAAUGGCAACGUGGGGAAAAAAAUAUAAAAUACCGUGAGCUGCUCUUUGCAAACACUUUAAAAAAGAAAAAAAAUUAUUUACCAUUCUACUGGAAAAGAAAAUACAAGACUAUAAAAGAAUGACUGAUUACAUGGCAGUGUGUGUGUGUGUGUGUGUGUGUGUGUGUGUGUGUGUGUGUGUGUGUGUGUGUGUGUGUGUGUGUGUGUGUGUGUGUGUGUGUGUGUGUGUGUGUGUGUCUGUCUGUCUGUCUGUCUGUCUGUCUGUCUGUCUGUCUGU